rnacentral:rRNA from 1 species
UACGUAGGGCGCAAGCGUUGUCCGGAAUUAUUGGGCGUAAAGAGCUCGUAGGUGGUUUGUCGCGUCUGCCGUGAAAACCCGAGGCUUAACCUCGUGGCUUGCGGUGGAUACGGGCAGACUAGAGGUAGGUAGGGGAGAAUGGAAUCCCCGGUGUAGCGGUGAAAUGCGCAGAUAUCGGGAGGAACACCGGUGGCGAAGGCGGUUCUCUGGGCCUUACCUGACGCUGAGGAGCGAAAGCGUGGGGAGCGAACAGG